rnacentral:rRNA from 1 species
UACGUAGGUGGCAAGCGUUAUCCGGAUUUAUUGGGCGUAAAGGGAACGCAGGCGGUCUUUUAAGUCUGAUGUGAAAGCCUUCGGCUUAACCGGAGUAGUGCAUUGGAAACUGGGAGACUUGAGUACAGAAGAGGAGAGUGGAACUCCAUGUGUAGCGGUGAAAUGCGUAGAUAUAUGGAAGAACACCAGUGGCGAAAGCGGCUCUCUGGUCUGUAACUGACGCUGAGGUUCGAAAGCGUGGGUAGCAAACAGG